UACAGAGGUGGCAAGCGUUGUUCGGAAUUACUGGGCGUAAAGGGCGCGUAGGCGGUUCGGUAAGUCCUGUGUGAAAUCCCUCGGCUCAACUGAGGAACUGCACGGGAGACUGCCGGGCUUGAGUUCGGGAGAGGGAAGCGGAAUUCCGGGUGUAGCGGUGAAAUGCGUAGAUAUCCGGAGGAACACCAGUGGCGAAGGCGGCCCCCUGGGCCGGGCCUGACGCUGAGACGCGAAAGCGCGGGGAGCGAACGGG
rnacentral:rRNA from 1 species